rnacentral:lncRNA from 1 species
UGCACUGAGACUCUGUGGAACUUUAAGGCCAGUCUGGAUGCCCAGGAUGGGGAUGGGUUGAGCCCGCUGAUCCUAGGAGCCCACAUGAGCAGAGUGGAGCUGUGUGCUUUCCUGUUGGACAGAGGGGCCAACCCCAACAUACAGGACAACCAGGGCAGGUCAGCCCUGAUGCUGGCCUGUGAGAGUGACAGUGCAGAGACAGUGGAGGUGUUGCUAAGGGGGGGGCUAACCCACAGCUGGCCGACGCCUUCAGACACGACGCAGCCCACUACGGCGUAACCGCCGGCAACCAGCGGAUCGCACAGCUUCUGCAGAACUGUCUUCCAGGUAACCCACGGUAACCUCUUGAUGUCUCACCUGCUGACUGAAGCAGGUUUGGGCUCAAUUCCUUUUAAAUUUGGAUUUUUGUUUAGUUGGAACUUCAAUCCAUUUCUUGACUGAACUGACUUGAAAUUAAAUUGAGCGCAAUCUUGCUCUGCUACCCUUUAAGCCCAGUCUGGGGCUUCAUUCUGGGCCCUGGUAGAAUGGUGGAUAUAAUUAUAAUUGAUAGAACAGACCACAUUCCCUGCUGGUUAUACCAGGGGCCAUAUUUGGUGUACAAUUUCAAAUGUUCAAUUAAUUAGUAUUGCCAACUACUACAACACUUUGUAUGCUAUUUAAUGUACUGUACCAGAAUCCAUGGAGCAUAAUCCUUUCUAUCAGUUGUACUUUUAUGGCCUGGUCUAUGGCCCUACUCUGGUCCCCCAGGAAAUGGCUGUAAUGUGAGGAAGUGGAUGAAGUAAAGGGGACAGCUGGGGGUAAUUGUAAAAGCCUGAAACAGAGAGGCUUGCUGCACUUUUAUCUUCAAACAAAGGCUUGGUGAUUUACGAAAAACAGAUGUGUGCUUCGUUUGAAAUGGAGAUGAAUGGAACAGAUCAGUGCCUGAAAUGUCUCUGAUGUAUCUGUGAUAUAUGAGGACUCUUGUGUCUUACAGUAGGGCUGUUGUUUGGUGUUAUACUGAGUGCUACGAUAUAUAGGAGGAUUUUUAUGGGCCGGUAUGCUGUUUAGCUAUAACUACAGUGUGUAUGUGCGUGUGCGUGCAUGCGCGUGUAUUGAAUCUCAAUGGACCAGAGGUUAAAAGGAUUUGCCGUUUGUCUCUCCCCAUGCAUACAUAGCCACUGAGGGCAACGGCGAGGAGGUAACUGACCACUCAGCUUUCCAUUUUCACUCACUACACAUUCAGUACAUGUGAAAACACAACUAUUUCUAGAUUGUACAUAAUAGAAUUUACAACAUAAGAAGGAACACCAACUUCUUAUCCCAUUUUCAAUCUACAACAUCUUUUGAACAACAACAGCUGAAGUAACAUCACACAUUAAAAGCUAAUUUCACAACGUUUUGGGCUACAGUACUGCCUGGCUUUGCUUUUGUCCUUGCUGCUAUUUCUCUCCUGUUUUCCUGUUCCUUCUGCUUGUCUGUGUCUCCAGAGGCAGCCCCCACCUCCCCCUCCUCUGCCAGGGGGGACCACCCCCCGCAAGAGGAAAG